rnacentral:lncRNA from 1 species
AGUGGUUCGGGGAAAGUAAUGUAGUCAUGUUUUAUUUAUUUAUUUAUUUAUUUAUUUAUUUAUUUAUUUAUUUUUACUUUUUUUUAAAGUCCUAAUGUUCAAUGUGAAGAAAGCAAUUGCUUACCACAAACCUUGAUCCAACUACCCAGGAGUUUGACAUACUACAUGAACGUGCAGAUCCAUGGAUUACCACGCACAGUUAGAUGCAGUCUGGCUGGAACAGACAGGAGAAGCCAGUUUGUAUCAGAGCAGUUAACUUGGCUUCCACUCCUGCCGCUCUCCGCAUCCCACGUCGGCUGUAUAUCACUCCAUUAACUACAGCAAUGGGUAUUUGCACUCAAUAAAUGUGUGUGGGUG